rnacentral:ncRNA from 1 species
CCUAUGGAGUGUAUAAGAACUUGUGAGUAGUAUAUCAGAAAUGAUUACAAAAGCAUACACGAUGAAAUAGGAA